CCUACGGGGGGCUGCAGUGGGGAAUAUUGGACAAUGGGCGCAAGCCUGAUCCAGCAAUGCCGCGUGUGUGAAGAAGGCCUUCGGGUUGUAAAGCACUUUUAUCAGGAACGAAAAGCGUAGGGUUAAUAACCUUGCGUGCUGACGGUACCUGAGGAAUAAGCACCGGCUAACUUCGUGCCAGCAGCCGCGGUAAUACGAAGGGUGCAAGCGUUAAUCGGAAUUACUGGGCGUAAAGCGUGCGUAGAUGGUUCACUCAGUCGGAUGUGAAAGCCCCGGGCUCAACCUGGGAACUGCAUCCGAUACUGGUGGACUAGAGUGCGGUAGAGGAUGGCGGAAUUCCCGGUGUAGCGGUGAAAUGCGUAGAGAUCGGGAGGAACAUCCGUGGCGAAGGCGGCCAUCUGGACCAGCACUGACGCUGAGGCACGAAAGCGUGGGGAGCAAACAGGCUUAGAUACCCUAGUAGUC
rnacentral:rRNA from 1 species